GGCGGCCGUCGGCGUGGCGGAGGGGCUUGGUCGCGUGGGCGUAGCGAAGGGAAGACUGCUACUGAGCUCUGACUUCUGAGGAACAGAUCAACAUAGGUGAUGAACACUGAACAGUUUUCACCGAUCCAGAUUACGUUAGGAAGGUUUUAAUACCUGGAUUUAGAGUAGACCGUGGCUUCCUCUUCCUCUUUCUUCCUAUGACUGCAGAAGUUAUUUUCCUCAUUCACAACUUGUAUUCUGGAACCAAACGGGAGAGGCUUAGAAAAUUAGAAAAGAUAUCUCCAGGAUGUACUUACAUUAAAGACCCUUUACAUCUGUUGGUUGCCCAUUCAGUGGAUAAUGUUUGCACAGACGAUAACUGACUUGGAUCCAUUGCAGCCUUUGCUGAAGAGAUACAUCAGUUUCUCAGUUCAUUAUAUGCAACUUAUAUAAUCUGUUUAUAGGAAAUCUGCUACAGAGUACUUGAAAGUUAAAAAAACAAAAAAAAAAAAAAGAUUGUGGAUGACGAUUGGUAUGUGUCUUACCCUACCUUCCAUUCUAGAUUUUUUCUAUACCUGUGCUUAUUUUAUAUGUAAUUCUUUAGUUAGGUUUAUAGUAUAGAGCAUACACACAUACCUUUUGAUCAUGAAACACACCCUCUUUGCACUU